rnacentral:rRNA from 1 species
UCCUGAUUUAUUGGGUUUAAAGGGUGCGUAGGCGGUCGUGCAAGUUGGAGGUGAAAUGCCGGCGCUCAACGUCGGGGGUGCCUCCAAUAUUGUGUGGCUGGAAUGGCGAUGCCGCGGGAGGAAUGAGUGGUGUAGCGGUGAAAUGCAUAGAGAUCACUCAGAAUGCCGAUUGCGAAGGCAUCUCGCGAAUCGUCUAUUGACGCUGAGGCACGAGGGCGUGGGGAGCGAACAGGAUUAGAUACCCUGGUAGUCCACGCGGUAAACGAUGAUGACUGGUUGUUGGCGCGUUGGGGCGUCAGUGGCCGAGAGAAAUCGGUAAGUCAUCCACCUGGGGAGUACGGCCGCAAGGCUGAAACUCAAAGGAAUUGACGGGGGCCCGCACAAGCGGAGGAACAUGUGGUUUAAUUCGAUGAUACGCGAGGAACCUUACCCGGGCUUGAACGGUGCAGGAAGGAGCGGGAGACCGCGCCGCCCUACGGGGUCUGCAUCGAGGUGCUGCAUGGUUGUCGUCAGCUCGUGCCGUGAGGUGUCGGCUCAAGUGCCAUAACGAGCGCAACCCUUGCCGUCAGUUGCCAGCGGGUGAAGCCGGGGACUCUGACGGGACUGCCGCCGCAAGGUGAGAGGAAGGUGGGGAUGACGUCAAAUCAGCACGGCCCUUACGUCCGGGGCGACACACGUGUUACAAUGGGGGCUACAGAGGGGGGACCGGGCCGGCGACGGCGAGGGAAUCCCGGAAAGGCCCUCUCAGUUCGGAUCGGAGUCUGCAACCCGACUCCGUGAAGCUGGAUUCGCUAGUAAUCGCGCAUCAGCCAUGGCGCGGUGAAUACGUUCCCGGGCCUUGCACACACCGCCCGUCAAG